AUUGAACGCUGGCGGCAUGCCUUACACAUGCAGGUCGAACGGCAGCACGGGAGCAAUCCUGGUGGCGAGUGGCGAACGGGUGAGUAAUAUAUCGGAACGUGCCCAGUCGUGGGGAUAACGUAGCGAAAGCUACGCUAAUACCGCAUACGAUCUAUGGAUGAAAGCGGGGGAUCGCAAGACCUCGCGCGAUUGGAGCGGCCGAUAUCAGAUUAGGUAGUUGGUGAGGUAAAGGCUCACCAAGCCGACGAUCUGUAGCUGGUCUGAGAGGACGACCAGCCACACUGGGACUGAGACACGGCCCAGACUCCUACGGGAGGCAGCAGUGGGGAAUUUUGGACAAUGGGCGCAAGCCUGAUCCAGCAAUGCCGCGUGCAGGAUG
rnacentral:rRNA from 1 species